GGAUUUAGCUCAGUUGGUAGAGUGCUUGCCUCACAUGCACGGGCCCUGGGUUCAAUCCCCAGCCACUGGGUUCA
rnacentral:tRNA from 1 species